GAACAAUCUCUGGACUCGGUGCCUCUGUGUGAUGCGAGGCUCUCCCUCUGAUGUGCUUUCCAGAAUCACUGCCGUCAAAUGCUAGAGAGGCAUUUCUUAAAGUUAAUCUCUCCCUUUGGCUCUCGUGAAAACAUCCAAGUGUUUCUUUCCUGUGAGUCACCAGCACAGGUCAAGUCAACUUAGGAGAGCACAGGCCACAGUAGCAGCAGAGCAGCUGGGACAGGCUCCUACAGUUCUGCAUCUGCAGCCAGAAGGUGGAGCUGAUUCUUAGUCCUCUGUACACCUUCUCUGCCACAGGAGAGCUUGGCUCCAGGAAGAGUCUGACCCGGGGACCUCAGGUAAGAUCACUAUUUUCUCUCCAGUGACUCUUUAAGACAGGUCCACUCAAGAGUGCACAUGCUGCAGAAGCAGCAGAGUAGCUUAGACAGGCCUACAUCUGCAUGCAGCCAGGAGGUGGGGAUUUUACACAGCCCUCAGUGCCCUGGUGCUGCCAGGAGAGAGCUGGUGUCCCAGGACUACUAACACAGGCUUACAGACUCACAGGAGGAACAAG
rnacentral:lncRNA from 1 species